rnacentral:lncRNA from 1 species
CUUCUUUUUCUACCAUGGACUACCAGCAAAAGGCGCAUAUUAUGUGCCAUAAAAUUCACAAAAAUUCUAUAAAAAAUUUGAAUAAAAUCAGUGCCACAAGGAAAGAGUUUUGAUUUUCUAAAACUCUAUCUUAUAGAAUUUGAAAUCCAAACUAAUUCCUACUUUGACUUGAUCCACAAGCACAUUCCAUGUAAGAGAGAAAGAGAGGAAAGUUUUGGACAUGCAUGAAGACCUGGGAG